GUGGGUGAUUAGCUCAGCUGGGAGAGCACCUCCCUUACAAGGAGGGGGGCGGCGGGUC
rnacentral:tRNA from 1 species